AUUGAACGCUGGCGGCAUGCCUUACACAUGCAAGUCGAACGGUAACAGGUCUUCGGAUGCUGACGAGUGGCGAACGGGUGAGUAAUACAUCGGAACGUGCCCGAGAGUGGGGGAUAACGAGGCGAAAGCUUUGCUAAUACCGCAUACGAUCUCAGGAUGAAAGCAGGGGACUGCAAGGCCUUGCGCUCACGGAGCGGCCGAUGGCAGAUUAGGUAGUUGGUGGGAUAAAAGCUUACCAAGCCGACGAUCUGUAGCUGGUCUGAGAGGACGACCAGCCACACUGGGACUGAGACACGGCCCAGACUCCUACGGGAGGCAGCAGUGGGGAAUCUUGGACAAUGGGCGCAAGCCUGAUCCGGCCAUGCCGCGUGCAGGAUGAAGGCCUUCGGGUUGUAAACUGCUUUUGUACGGAACGAAAAGACUCCUUCUAAUAAAGGGGGUCCAUGACGGUACCGUAAGAAUAAGCACCGGCUAACUACGUGCCAGCAGCCGCAGUAA
rnacentral:rRNA from 1 species